rnacentral:rRNA from 1 species
GGCGUGCUUAAUACAUGCAAGUCGAACGGGAGUAAAUUGGGAGCUUGCUUUGAUUUAUCUAGUGGCGGACGGGUGGAGUAACGCGUGGGUAACCGUGCCUCAUACAGGGGGAGUAACAGUUAGAAAUGACUGCUAAAACCGCAUAACAUGAUGGAACCGCAUGAUUUCAUCAUCAAAUAUUUAUAGGUAUGAGAUGGGCCCGCGUCUGAUUAGCUAGUUGGUGAGAUAACAGCCCACCAAGGCGACGAUCAGUAGCCGUACUGAGAGGUAGAACGGCCACAUUGGGACUGAGACACGGCCCAAACUCCUACGGGAGGCAGCAGUAGGGAAUAUUGGACAAUGGGGGGAACCCUGAUCCAGCGAACCGCCGCGUGAGUGAAGAAGUUAUUCGUAAUGUAAAGCUCUAUCAGCAGGGACGAUAAUGACGGUACCUGACUAAGAAGCACCGGCUAAAUACGUGCCAGCCGCAGC